UCCUCCCUCAAACCUCGGGUUUGGUGUUGGACCGCGUUGGAGCCCCUCGGGGCCCCAACUGGUCUCAAAGACAAUGACGGCGUCCGUGGGACCCUCUUCGCACUGAGCUUUCCGGAGCACGCGUCGAGUUUCAAGGCCCCGGGGACCCGGUCACCUAAAUUUACUUCUAA
rnacentral:misc_RNA from 1 species